UACGAAGGGGGCUAGCGUUGCUCGGAAUCACUGGGCGUAAAGGGUGCGUAGGCGGGUCUUUAAGUCAGGGGUGAAAUCCUGGAGCUCAACUCCAGAACUGCCUUGAUACUGAAGAUCUUGAGUCGGGAGAGGUGAGUGGAACUGCGAGUGUAGAGGUGAAAUUCGUAGAUAUUCGCAAGAACACCAGUGGCGAAGGCGGCUCACUGGCCCG
rnacentral:rRNA from 1 species